AGCCAGCAGCCGCGGUAAGACAGAGGGCGCGAGCGUUGUUCGGAAUCAUUGGGCGUAAAGCGCGCGCAGGCGGGUUCGCAAGUCGGGAGUGAAAUUCCGGGGCUCAACCCCGGAGCGGCUCCCGAAACUGCGAGUCUAGGGACCGGUAGGGGCCGGUGGAAUUCCCGGUGUAGCGGUGGAAUGCGUAGAGAUCGGGAAGAACACCCGUGGCGAAGGCGGCCGGCUGGGCCGGAUCCGACGCUGAGGCGCGAAAGCGUGGGGAGCAAACAGGAUUAGAUACCCUGGUAGUCCACGCCGUAAACGAUGGGUGCUAGGUGCCGGGGGGAGCGACCCCUUCGGUGCCGCAGCUAACGCGUUAAGCACCCCGCCUGGGGAGUACGGCCGCAAGGCUGAAACUCAAAGGAAUUGACGGGGGCCCGCACAAGA
rnacentral:rRNA from 1 species